GACGAACGCUGGCGGCGCGCUUAACACAUGCAAGUCGAGCGAUGAAACUCUAACAGUACCCUUCGGGGCGAAGAUAAAGCGGAUUAGCGGCGGACGGGUGAGUAACACGUGAGUAACCUCCCCUAGACAUUGGGAUAGCCUCGGGAAACCGGGAUUAAUAUCAAAUAAAAUUAUAAUGACACAUGUCAUAACGAUCAAAACUCCGGUGGUCUAAGAUGGACUCGCGUCCGAUUAGCUAGUUGGUAGAGUAAAAGCCUACCAAGGCGACGAUGGGUAGCCGGCCUGAGAGGGUGAACAGCCACAUUGGAACUGAGACACGGUCCAAACUCCUACGGGAGGCAGCAGUGGGGAAUAUUGCACAAUGGAGGGAACUCUGAUGCAGCGACGCCGCGUGAACGAAGAAGGCUUUCGAGUCGUAAAGUUCUUUUAUAUGGGAAGGUAAUGACGGUACCAGAAGAAAAAGCCCCGGCUAACUACGUG
rnacentral:rRNA from 1 species